rnacentral:misc_RNA from 1 species
AAAUACACUAAAAAUAUAUAUAGAGAAGAAAUAAUUUUAAACGUUGAAACGAUAACUGUUCUUUUGAAUUCAUAUUCUACACAACGCUACUUACAUGUCUGACUGUAGCUAAAUACUAUCAAUUACUACUUAUGUUGAAUGUAUCAUAAUGCAAUCUAUAAUAAAAUGCUUAGCAUUAAGAUAUACAUAUAGAAGAUUUUCAUUUAUGAUUAGAAAAAGAAAGUCUAAGGCAACAUGGUAUUAAUAGAACAGGAAAGUUAAUACCUAAUUACUAUUACUGUCUAUUUGAAGAUUGGGUUAUGCUUACAUUAGAUACAAUGUUGGCUGAACAGGAAGAAAAGGAUAUGAUUUGGACACCAUCUAAAGUAAUAGCAAGACUAGGUGUAGAAAUUAAUAACGAACAUUUAAUAUAUUAUGGUGCUGAAAAAAAUAAUAUUCUAGUGCUCAGCUCCACUUUGUCAGAUGGCAAUCUUCACUUCUAUAGGAAUCCAGGUUUAAUUAUAGACAUAAUCUCAGAUUUGAACUUGUAAAAUAAGGAUUAAAAUUUAUAAUUUAAUUUAUUUAUUAAAUAAAUAUAGAUUUUAUAAAUAUUAUAAACAAGAAAUAUAACAAAUAUAUAAUACAAUGAUAUUAAAUAUAUUGUAUGUUACUUAUUGUAUACUGUGUUGAUUACUUCACAAAUUUUAGGCAAUUAAAUACAAUGAUUGUGAAAGCAAUAAACAAUGGCAUGAUUAUCAUUGGAGGUAGUAUUGUUAAAAUAUUAUCAUAUGUGAAAUACAAAUUUCAAGGUAAUAAAGAAAGUGUAAAUUGAAAUAAAUUUGAUAAUAAAUUGAAUUAAAAUAAUUUAUAUACCAGAAAUAUAGUGCUAAAUAUGUUGUAUUUAUAAAUAUAUCUUCAAAAUUUGGUGGCAGUGAUAGUGGUGCUCAUUCAGAUGAAGCUAUUUCAUGGAAUAAGGGUUUGAAUGAAUGUAAAACCAGUUAAAAUAACAAUAUAUUAGAUUUGUGCAGAUGCAUCUCUGAUUUUUCCAUUGCUCAUUGGAGAAACUUUUGCUUGACAUUAUUACUGAACAAGAGAAAAUAUUGUUUUAGACAUUUAAGAAAAAUUUAAUAAACCAUUUUUAAAUGAAACUAACCGCAUUUCUAUCGUCUCUUACAUAUACAUAUGUGUAUGUAUGUUUUUAAGUUUUUGUAAUACUUUGUAACUUGGUAAGUUCUUUAUUAUGUUAAUAAUAUCAAACAAAAAAUUUUUUAUUAAAAACUUAGGUUAUAAACGAAGCGUUAUAUGUGUUUUUUUUAAAUUCUUAUUAUUUUGUUAAUUUUAUAAAAAUUCAAGAAUUCUUUGACGGCGCGGCGCCUGCGCAAUGAUAGUGUUCCUACGC